rnacentral:rRNA from 1 species
GACGAACGCUGGCGGCGUGCUUAACACAUGCAAGUCGAACGGAAAGGCCCUGCUUUUGUGGGGUGCUCGAGUGGCGAACGGGUGAGUAACACGUGAGUAACCUGCCCUUGACUUUGGGAUAACUUCAGGAAACUGGGGCUAAUACCGGAUAGGAGCUCCUGCUGCAUGGUGGGGGUUGGAAAGUUUCGGCGGUUGGGGAUGGACUCGCGGCUUAUCAGCUUGUUGGUGGGGUAGUGGCUUACCAAGGCUUUGACGGGUAGCCGGCCUGAGAGGGUGACCGGCCACAUUGGGACUGAGAUACGGCGCAGACUCCUACGGGAGGCAGCAGUGGGGAAUAUUGCACAAUGGGCGGAAGCCUGAUGCGGCAACGCCGCGUGCGGGAUGACGGCCUUCGGGUUGUAAACCGCUUUCGCCUGUGACGAAGCGUGAGUGACGGUAAUGGGUAAAGAAGCACCGGCUAACUACGUG